UUAUUUCAUAGACUACUCAAA
rnacentral:miRNA from 1 species